AUUGAACGCUGGCGGCAUGCUUUACACAUGCAAGUCGAACGGCAGCGGGGACUUCGGUCCGCCGGCGAGUGGCGAACGGGUGAGUAAUGCAUCGGAACGUGCCUAUCAGUGGGGGAUAACGCUUCGAAAGGAGUGCUAAUACCGCAUAUUCUCUGAGGAGGAAAGCAGGGGGACCUUAGGGCCUUGCGCUGAUAGAGCGGCCGAUGUCGGAUUAGCUAGUAGGUGAGGUUAAAGGCUCACCAAGGCGACGAUCCGUAGCGGGUCUGAGAGGAUGAUCCGCACACUGGGACUGAGACACGGCCCA
rnacentral:rRNA from 1 species